GACGUCAGUAAUAGGCUACGUUCCGCUGUCUGCAUGUGUGUCUCCCGCGGUUUGUGCGUCCUUGUUUCAUGCGCCACCUGCCUCAAGAAAGAGCGACGGUCACGUGCGUGCAUGAGUGAUUGAUGAGUCGAAUGAUGCCGGUUAAACAGCUGCAAGCAAGCGAGAAACCGAACCUUCAGCUAUGCCUGGAAAAUGUAAAUUCCAGGACUCGUGGCUCACCAAAAACAUUUACAAAGACUGGCUUGUUAAAAAUAUGCGGGAGAUCCAUAUGGCCCGAUGCAGAGCCUGCAGCAAAUCAAUAAAAGUUCACGCCAUGGGCGAAGCAGCUGUGACGAGCCAUGCUUCUGGAGCAUCACACAGGACGGCAGUCCGCCAGUUAAAAGCAGGUGUGCUGUUCUCAGCGAUGUUCCCAGACAGUGCAAUAGUCAAGACCUUCGCAUGCGGGGCAACAAAGUCCAGCUAUGUGUGCACACAUGCAAGCCUCAGUAGAGCGUGGAUUCUCCAUAAAUCGUCAGAUUGAUGGAGACCACGUAGUCUGCCAUCACUGUAACACAGCACAAUUGAGAAGUGUUCACACAUUCAAGCCUCUCUUUAAUUGUCUGUGAGCUUCUGUAAAGCCUGCUAGUUCUCAUUAUAAAAAUUCCUCAGUGUUGUAACGGUAAUUAACCUUGAUCUGUGUCUCAAACUAUGCUGUGUUGGGUCCUUGAAUUGGGCCUGGAAAGUCCUUGAAUUUGAUGUUUAAGAAGGUGUGGGAACCCUGUAUGUAAUUCUAGGUUAAUUACGGGGUUGUACUGUUAUGAGAACUUCACAGCAGAGCAGAGACACAGGGUGAUAACAGAAAAACCUUUGCUUGUCAAGACACAACACAAACAUUCAGAAACAAGCCCACUUUUGAUAUUCGUAAACUUACUACACUACCCUGAUUUUUAUCGAAUGGUAUUAGAUUCUGUAAUCAAGUGUUGUGUAGUGCCGCUAACAAGGUUACUGGAUGUCAUGGAGGCUUGUUCAUUUCAGUUAGUUGAAUUGUCAAUAGAAUAUGCUCUGAAUGCAAAGGAGGCAUAUUGCUGACAAUACAUGUUCUGAUAUGUGCUAGAAUAUAAUUUUACCCCAAUACACCUUUCCUUUGCCAACACUUUCAGUCAAUACGUCAAUGUGGACGCACCGGCUUCAGCAUUAAUGUGUCAUCUAUUAUGAGUUGGUUCACGCUCUCUUGUUCACAUCAUUCCGAGGUGAUGGCGCCUCCCGUCUAUGUUCUUGUCCUGCAAUUUCAUGUCAGCACUCUUCUAUUCACAUUCCUACCCACACACCUCUGCCUGCCUCUCUCUCGAUUUUAUACCCUGUCUGUAUUAAAUUGCAAUAUGUCAGUUUACCCAUAGAUAACACACCAUUUCAAAUCUCACUCUUGACAGAGAGACUGGUCACAGAGACAUUCUCUCUCAACCUGCUUCAACCUGCUUCUCAACAUUAAAAAAGAUUCCUUUAGCAGAUUGUGAAAUGUUAGAUAUACUGUAGCAGAUGUUUAAAGGAGAUGGUAGACACUCAGACAGUGGGACUAGUCUGUGAAAUCUAUGAAUUUAAGAAUGGUUACAUACAUUCUCCAUCACCAUCCCUCAGCUGUUUAACAAAAAAGUGGGGGGGGUUUACAACACUGUUUGAAUCCCAGAUUGCCCCUUUAAAACCUCUUGAGGACCCCUUCGAGAUAAAAUCCCGUUAAUGGGAUUGGUUGGACAACAACCAGUGAGAUAGCACGGCGUGAAAUUCAAAAAACAAUAAUCUCAAAAUUAAAAUUCAAGUAUUAUACGGCAUUUUAAAGAUACUCUACUCGUUAAUCCAAUCACAUUGUCCGAUUUCAAAAAGGCUUUACGGUGAAAGCAAAACAUUAGAUUAUUUUAGGAUAGCACCUUAGCAACAACAACAAAAAAGCAAUUUUCCAAGCACGGAUAGCCGUCACAAAACCAGAUAUACAGCUAAAAUUAAGCACUAACCUUUGACAAUCUUCAUCAGAUGACACUCCUAGGACAUCAUGUUAGACAAUACAUGCAUUUUUUGUUCGAUCAAGUUCAUAUUUAUAUCCAAAAACCCAAUUUUUACAUUGGCGCGUGAUGUUCAGAAAAUGUUUUCUCCCCAUAACUCCCGGUGAAUAGGCACAUUCAUUUACAGAAGAACUCAUAAACGUUGACAAAAUGUAUAACAAUUAUUUAAAGAAUUAGAGAUAAUCUACUCCUUUAUGCAACCACUUUGUCAGAUUUCAAAAUAACUUUAGGGAAAAAGCACAUUGUUCAAUAUUCUGAGUACAGAACUUAGCCUGCAAUGCUAAGCUAAACAGUUAGCCUACAACCACGGCGUCGACAAAUCUAAAAAAAUAUGUUCGAAAUAUUUUCUUACCUUUGCUGAUCUUCGGCGGAAUGCACUCGGAAGGGCACCCACUUCCACAAGAAAUGUUAAUUUGUUCUGCAAAGUCCAUCAUUUAUGUCCAAAUACGUCCGUUUUGUUGACCCAUCCAGAACACUUUACAAUGCCAUGUGGCGUGGACGCAAAUCCAUAGACGAAAUGUUCAAAAGUUCCAUUACCGUUUGUAGAAACAUGUCAAAUGAUGUUUACAAUCAAUCCUUUAGGGUCUUUUUUUACGUAAAAUUGCGAUAAUUUUACAACCGGGCAAUAGGUAUUCAUCCCAGAAGAAAAAUAAAGAACAGCGAAGUCACGUGUACGCGCGUCACGAGACACCUCUCCUCAGACUGGCCACUGAUUGACUGAGCCAUAAUUUUCUGCCCGGUAACAGGUGACGGAUGAAACCAGUUCCUAAAGAUUGUUGACAGCCAAUGGAAGAGUUAGGAGGUGCAACGUAAAUCCUAUGUCACUAGUUUUUCAAGGGAUUCAAAAGAAACUAUAUUUCUAAUUUCUCCCACUUCCUGAUUAAAUUUCUCAGGUUUUUGCCUGCCAUAUGAGUUCUGUUAUACUCACAUACACCAUUCAAACAGUUUUUGAAACGUCAGAGUGUUUUCUAUCCAAAUCUACUAAUAAUAUGCAUAUUCUAUUUUCUGGGCCAGAGUAGUAACCUGUUUAAAUUGGGUACGUUUUUCAUCCGGCCGUGAAAAUACUGCCCCCUAGCCCCAAGAGGUUCUAAUGAAUGUAUUCUACGUAGUGCCUGUAUAUUGCUUAAUUUCACUAGCUGGCUCAUAGUAUAUGGAACUUCCCUAACCCACAAUUAUUCUGUAUGACAUUAAGAGUUUGUGUUAUGGAAGAACUGCAGUUUGCUGAUAUCUCCUGAGAAAGAUUCUUCUUUCUCUGUGUCUUGAGGAAGAUAUUAGGGGAAAAUGAUGUCUAAAUGUAUUCAGCAAACCUCGUGUGUUUGUUUGUCCCUCAGGCCAAAAGUACUGUUGCUUCAUUGUCUUGGUCCAAAUACCUCAUUAACUGUAACACCAUCAGCAGGCUCAGUUGAACAGAGUUAUGAAUGAUAAGCUAAGACACUUGGGGCCAGUUUCCCAGACACAAAUUAAGCCUUGUCCUGGACUAAAAAGUUAUUUGAAUGGAGUUUCUCCACUGAGAAUGCUUUUUAGUCCAGGACUAGGUUCAAUCUGUGUCCAGGAAACCACCUCUAAUUUCCCAACUGGCUGGGAGAAUAUCAAUUAUGUCAAUAAUUUAUGUGAAUUGCAUAAGUAAAUACCAGUGUAUAUAGAUUA
rnacentral:lncRNA from 8 species